rnacentral:rRNA from 1 species
AUUGAACGCUGGCGGCAUGCCUUACACAUGCAAGUCGAACGGCAGCACGGGUGCUUGCACCUGGUGGCGAGUGGCGAACGGGUGAGUAAUAUAUCGGAACGUACCUUAUUGUGGGGGAUAACGCAGCGAAAGCUGUGCUAAUACCGCAUAAUCCCUAAGGGGGAAAGCGGGGGACCGUAAGGCCUCGCGCAAUUAGAGCGGCCGAUACCUGAUUAGCUAGUUGGUGAGGUAAAGGCUCACCAAGGCAACGAUCAGUAGCUGGUCUGAGAGGACGAUCAGACACACUGGGACUGAGACACGGCCCAGACUCCUACGGGAGGCAGCAGUGGGGAAUUUUGGACAAUGGGGGAAACCCUGAUCCAGCAAUGCCGCGUGAGUGAAGAAGGCCUUCGGGUUGUAAAGCUCUUUUGUCAGGGAAGAAACAGCAGCUCUAACACAGUUUGCGAAUGACGGUACCUGAAGAAUAAGCACCGGCUAACUACGUGCCAGCAGCCGCCGUAA